rnacentral:lncRNA from 1 species
AAUCUCCAUCUCCUGAUUCAAGUGAUCCUGCUGACUCAGCCUCCUGAGUAGCUAGGAUUACAGGCACACAUCACCAUGCCUGGCUAAUUUUUUUUUUUUUUUUUUUUUUUGUAUUUUUAGUACAGAUGGGGUUUCACCAUGUUGGCCAGGCUGGUCUGGAACUCCUGACCUCAAGUGAUCCAACUAUGUCGGCCUUUCAAAGUGCUGGGAUUAUAGGUGUAAGCCACCACCCCCAGCUGAUACUUUGUUAUUGACUUCUAAGAAUUCUAAUAAUAGCCAUUUAUUAUGACACAAGUUAUGCAAUUUCUUUUUUCAUUCUGUCAUUUCUAUUUUGACUUUGCUGCUGGGGUGCCUGUACGUGUGUGUGUUUGUUAUGUGUUCUUUCUCCACUUAUCCUCCCACAACCAUCUCCCACUGACUGUGUCCCUCUGACCCUCUGCCCCAGGAAAGGGGCCUCUGCGUCGUCCAGGUCCUCAUGCAAAGGGGCUUCUGAUUGUAUUCAGCCAAAGCCAGGAGAGGGAGGACAGAAAGAGGGAGCUGCUGUCCAUCUCCAUGGUCCCUUCCUCUUCUGCGCUCCCUCAUGAACAACAGCUAUGCCCUUUUAUAACUUCUGCACGGCUGCAGACUUCAUCAGACUCCAGGACAAAGAAAAGAGACAUGCAAGUACCACAGAAAGUACUACACACCACCCAGAGAUUGAAACUGAAGGUGUGACAACAGAGAAAAGAGAGGGUAAAGAAAAGUAAAACAAAGGAGACGUGGGAUAUGAAAGGUGGAUCCCAUGUGUGGACAUCAAGAAACGUUGUGGCUCCCACUUCUGCCACCAAUUGAACCUGGAACCUCACGACUUGGAGUUGAGAGGAGGUUCUGGAUACAUCCCACAGCAGAUCUGAAUAAACUGCCCCUUGUGGAAGGAUAUUUUAUAAGGAGGGGAGAAAUCUGUUUGCUGCAGGACAAAAUGCCGCUGAAUGGGACCGAAUAAACAGGCAAUCUUGGCUCCCUGGCCUGCUCCCUGGUAGGAUUCUCAGACCCCUAGAGACUGGUGGAGGUGAGACAAGAAAUGUCAUCUUCUCUU